CGCGUGAGAAUCUAGCUUCAGAAUGGGGACAACAGAGGGAAACCGCUGCUAAUACCCGAUGUGCCGAAAGGUGAAAGAUUUAUCGUCUGAAUAUGAGCUCGCGUCCGAUUAGCUAGUUGGUAGAGUAAGAGCCUACCAAGGCGACGAUCGGUAGCUGGUCUGAGAGGAUGACCAGCCACACUGGGACUGAGACACGGCCCAGACUCCUACGGGAGGCAGCAGUGGGGAAUUUUCCGCAAUGGGCGAAAGCCUGACGGAGCAAGACCGCGUGAGGGAGGAAGGCUCUUGGGUUGUAAACCUCUUUUCUCUGGGAAGAAGAUCUGACGGUACCAGAGGAAUCAGCAUCGGCUAACUCCGUGCCAGCAGCCGCGGUAAUACGGAGGAUGCAAGCGUUAUCCGGAAUUAUUGGGCGUAAAGCGUCCGUAGGUGGCAAUUCAAGUCUGCCGUUAAAACCAGUGGCUUAACCACUGACAGGCGGUGGAAACUGAAUAGCUAGAGUGUGGUAGGGGUAGAGGGAAUUCCCAGUGUAGCGGUGAAAUGCGUAGAGAUUGGGAAGAACACCGGUGGCGAAAGCGCUCUGCUGGACCACAACUGACACUCACAGGACGAAAGCUAUGGGAGCGAAAGGGAUAGAUACCCCC
rnacentral:rRNA from 1 species